UUAGGAUGAAAGUGAAAUUUUUUGUCAUCUUUCUGGGUAUUUAGCAGCCUACUUUGGUACUCCAUUCUAAUUGCAAAUAGAAAAGGUGACAUAGGGUCACUUUGUCUUAAACCUUUAGCCGCAAGGAAUUGGAUAGUUGUUUCUCUAUUUAUCAUGGUGCUUUAGCUCACAGUUCUUACACACUCCAUAAUCCACGUCACAAAAAUAGCAGGGAAACCAAGCUCAGUCAACAUUUUCUCCAAAAAUACCCACUCCAAGGAGUCAUAGGCUUUCUGGAGGUUUAUUUAUCAUACACCGUGGAGAUAGAUAUUUCCUAUUGUAGCCCUGAACUAGAUCCUGAGCUACGAUAAUGUUGUCACCAAUCUUUCUCCCUGGAAUAAAAUCUGAUUGUGCAUUACAAAUCAAAUCAGGCAUCACUUUCUGCAUUCUAUUAGCAAGGAUUUUAGAGAUGAUCUUUUAUAGGACUCUACAACAGGUAAUGGGCAUGUACUCCUUAAUAAAAGAAGGUUGCGCAGUCUUUGGAACCAGAGGAAUGGAAGUGCAAUUGAUAGGUCGGUACAAUUUUCUUGUGGAAAAGAAUGAUAGCACUGCUUCUAUGAUUUCUUGCUUAAUGAUAUUCCAGGUUUUCUUGAAGAAGGCGGCAUUGUAACCAUCUAUCCCUGGAGCUUUAUCUUCUCGUGUAGCUGCAAGACUCUCAGAUAUCUCAACUACACAGACUGAUUCACAUAGCAUUAAUUUUUUAUGGUGGUUUAGUAUAGGACCUUUGUGUAUGACCUCAAUAUUUCCCGUAGGCAGCCUUGUAGUCGAAGUAACCAUGAGUCCUUUGUAGAAAGUAAUGACCUUCCUUUCUAUCUCCUCAUGAUUUGUCAGAUGAUGUCCAUCCAGUGAACAAAGGGAAGUAAUAUAUCUCUUUUGACUCCUCUCUUUUAUUACAGCUGAAAAAUACUUUGUAUUGGAGUCCCCUAAUUUGACCCACUUGGCUCUGGAUUUCUGCUUCAGAGCACUUUCCUCUACUAGGUACCAUUUUUCCUAUCUUUGGAUAGUGUCUUUCUCUUAGUCUUGCAAUUCAGUAGUCCAUUGAUAUCUCAUCUGCAUUUGAAUGUCAACCAACAUAGCUCUGGAAUCCUCAACUUUCUGCACAACAUAUUUAAAUUCGUCAUUGUUCAGUUUACUCAAGUUGAGCUUAAGUACUUCUAAAUUAAGCCACACAUUUUUCAUUGCUCCACCAGCCAUUCUAUAUGACCAUUGUUUUGUAACAAUUGCAUUGAAGUUUCUAUGUUCAACCUAGAUACUGAAGAAUCUAAAAGGUUCUUUACCACUUCCUCAUUCCUUGUCCAGAGUUAGUACCAUAGGAGAAUGAUCAGAGACACUAGGUAAGUCAUAUUAUAGCACUACAUGUCCCGAACUCAUCAUUUAUUCAUGAUUUUUGAAAGCUCUAUCCAACCUACUACAUACUCCAUGAUUUCCAGAUUGUUUAUUUGUCCAGGAACAGUAAUCUUCUCUCUAGCUUAGUUUAUUUAUAUGUAAGUCCUGGGCACAAUUAGUAAAGUCUUUAAUUUCAGCAUACUGGGCUGGAUUAUUACUUAAUCUAUCUGUGGUAGCAGUAAAGCAUUGAAGUCACCACAUAUCAGCCAAGGUUAUUUGAUUCUACUAAAAAUAUCUCUCAAAUAAUACCUCAAUGCUUUUCUUUGUUCUACAGUAGUGUAACCAUAAAUAAUAGUUAGAUAACACUCAAUUGCAUCAGGUUUUCUAACCUUACAGUGGAUGAGUUGAUCUCUAGCUCUAAUCAACUUCACUGUAUACCAUUCCAAGUCCCAAAUCAGCCAAAUUCUGCCAUUACUUGCAGCAUUAUAAUUAUUGAUAGCACCCCAGCCAGACAUCAUGCUCUUCAGUACUCUAGCUGCGUUAUUUUGUUUGACCCUAGUCUCUAUCAAACCAGCAAGAGUGAUAUGUUUAUUUUGGAUGAUCUUUCUAAUCUUUUUCUGCUUAUAGCGCUUAUUUAUACCUCUAACAUUCCAACAUAACCAAUUUAUAUAGUAGGUGGGUUACCGUUAUCAGGAGGCACUUCUUUCCCCUUAUAUACAGGUCUUUGCGCUCCCCUAUCCUUACUCUUCAUAGAAGCCUCAUUUAGAGUAGGAAAAUCUGCAUAAUCCAAGUGUGUAUCAUUGUCUACUCUUUCCAGAUUUGUAUUUGGUGUAGUGAGUUCUUGCGUCCUCACUAGGCAUUUUUGAGUGCCAAUACAUAUUUCCCCAGGGGUUGAAUUCUGGACAGGAGCUGUGAAAUCCUCCUACUUUUAUUGUUCUUAUUGUCCUGGGUAAUCUUCUGAUGGGUCCCUUAUACACCCAAGCUUGCACAAGCUUGGGACCUGGUACACCUUCCUUUUUCUUUGGCAUCUCCUGUUGAACUGGUGCAGGAAGGCAUUUGUGCCCAAUUACUUGGCAUUUCUCACAAUAACGUAGCCUCUAAUUGUACACUACAGGUUGAGAAAGCACCCUACCAUUAGGAUCAGCUAUUGUUAUAGUAUCAUGUAUCUCUUUAGUUACAUUCACCUCUAUAAGCAAACAAGCAUAGAAAAUCCGUAUUUUCUUUGCAGUACAUUCAUCUGCGUAGAUAGGUUUGCCAAUUAUACUAGAAAUACGACUGAGGGAAUUGGCACCCCAGUAGUUCAUGGGAAGAUUUGGAAGCUUAACCCACAAAGGGAUCUCAGUUGGGAAUUCCCCAUUAAAAUAAAAAUCUGGUGUCCAAGGUUUCAAAAUUAGAGGCCAGUAGUUGAGCAUAUAAGGUCCCGCACAGAGAAUAGCUCGCAUAUCUUUAAGGGAUUAAAAUCAUACAAUGAAGUAACCCUCUUCAUGGAGAUAAAUGGUAGGCUCAGCUAUAGAAUUCCAUUGUUGUUCAAUGAAUCGCUUCAUUACAUUAAACCCAGGACAUUCUCCCAAUGUAUACACAAUUAGAGCUCAUCGCCAUUUCUCUAUUUCCUUAUCAAUCUCGUCCUUCUCCAACUGAACCACAACCUCUCCUUUAACGACUUGUGGAGGUAUAUAUGAUAGUGCUAGCCAAUUCUCUGUUGAUCUACUCUUUUUAAACAAAUUAACCCAAGGUUCUGCUGGACUUGCUCCACACUUAUCCUCUUCCUUCACCUCAUUCUCAUGAUGAAGUAUAGAUACAGUAGGGUUAGGGUUGUCUACCGGGGUUAUGAAUCCAGCACUACUCAAUAAACUCUUACCCUGUGAUUGGGUGCUAGAUGACGAUCCAAUUUCAUUUACCCCACGAAGAAUUGAUCCUAUUUGGGUAAGGUUCUGCUUAUCUCCUUCGUGUGUUUCCUUGUCCUCAGAAGCCGGAGGUACUUCCAAGGGGAUUUUCCGAGGUCUUCCACGCCCUCAUUCAACGUCACCUCAUCCUUGUCCACGCCCUCGACCUCUCCCCCUCCCUCUAGCCAUGGUAGUCUCAUCAACAGCAGUUAGCUACCGUACGCUCUCUAGCCAUGGUUUCCUUGUAAGAAUUCUUUCCUAAAAUUUAGGACAUUAGGAACUUCAAAGUUUCUUUUGUUUUGCCGUAUAGUUGAGUGCUAAUUUGUUGCAGUGUCGUUUCAAGUUUUCAAAAUUUAUUAGGAGUUUUUGUGUUAAAUUUUCUAACAUUAGGAAUUCAAAAUAAUAUAACUUUUUAAUAUAUUAAACAUAUUUGCUUUGUCUUUUACCAUUUUAUAUAAUUUUAUAUAUGACUCAUGAAUAUAUCUUAAAAUGAAUAUGAAAUAAAAAUAAAUAUUUCAAACACUAUUGUUAUGAUUUAUAUAAAUACAAUGAAAUCAACAUGAAAUAUUAAUAGAAUUUUUUAAUGUUUUGAGAAUAAUAUACAUUAUGAUACAAGUCAUAUAUAUUAGAUAAAACAAUAGUAGUAAGUUUUAAUAUUAAUUGUACCUUAAUUUUGAACUUGUUUUAAAAUAGUUGAUGUUUAUUGUGGGAAGAAAUUGAGCUAGAUACAUGUGGCACUGGUAUGAAGGCUAACAGAAGGUCUUAUUGCAGUAAGGAACGUUGAGCCUCGAAGGGACUCCCCUUGAAAUGGCAAUAAUACAGGCGUCGUUUCGUGCAAGAUAAGGAUCAGGAAAUCGUCACCACAAUGACAUGGCUACAACGAUAUAUAUAUAGGGGACCUGUCAGAUUGCUUAGGUAUGCGAAUAAGCCUAUACGAAGCUGAGCAGUGAAAGAAUAUUAGUUGUCUUCUCCUCCAAUAGAUGAGACAUAUGGCGCAAGGACAUAGGCAUUAGUAUUUUAGGGCUCUAGUGACAUAUCCUAAUUGUCAGCGGCUAACAUUGUAGCCUAUAAAUAGUCGACCUUCCUCAUUUGUAAAGGAUCCCCCUUCUAUUAACUCAAUCAAUAUAAUAGUUUUCUUGGUCUUCAGUGU
rnacentral:lncRNA from 1 species